rnacentral:rRNA from 1 species
AACAGCCGCGGUAAUUCCAGCUCCAAUAGCGUAUAUUAAAGUUGUUGCAGUUAAAAAGCUCGUAGUUGAAUUUUGGAUUCUGCCAGUUGGUCCAUCUUUUGAUGAGUACUGAUUGUGUGGGGUCUAUCCGCCUGGUGAUACGUAAUGUACUUUAUCGUAUGUUGCGGGUAGUCAGGACCUUUACCUUGAAAAAUUAGAGUGUUUAAAGCAGGCUUAUGCCGGAAUACAUUAGCAUGGAAUAAUAGAAUAGGACGAUGUUGUUUUAUUUUGUUGGUUUCUAGGACAACCGUAAUGAUUAAUAGGGAUAGUUGGGGGCAUUAGUAUUCAAUUGUCAGAGGUGAAAUUCUUGGAUUUAUUGAAGACUAACUACUGCGAAAGCAUUUGCCAAGGAUGUUUUCAUUAAUCAAGAACGAAAGUUAGGGGAUCGAAGACGAUCAGAUACCGUCGUAGUCUUAACCAUAAACUAUGCCGACUAGGGAUCGGGCGAUGUUGUUUCAAUUGACUCGCUCGGCACCUUAUA